rnacentral:rRNA from 1 species
GGUCUGUAGCAAUACAGGCGCUGGCGACCGGCAAACGGGUGCGGAACACGUACACAACCUUCCUUUAAGUGGGGAAUAGCCCGGGGAAACCCGGAUUAAUACCCCGUAAUAUUAUGAAAUGGCAUCAUUUUAUAAUUAUGGCUCCGGCGCUUAAUGAUGGGUGUGCGGCUGAUUAGGUAGUUGGCGGGGUAAUGGCCCACCAAGCCUGCGAUCAGUAACUGGUGUGAGAGCACGACCAGUCACACGGGCACUGAGACACGGGCCCGACUCCUACGGGAGGCAGCAGUAAGGAAUAUUGGUCAAUGGACGCAAGUCUGAACCAGCCAUGCCGCGUGGAGGAUGAAGGUCCUCUGGAUUGUAAACUUCUUUUAUUUGGGAAGAAACCCAUAGUUUCUACUGUGGUUGACGGUACCAGAUGAAUAAGCACCGGCUAACUCCGUGCCAGCAGCCGCGGUAAUACGGAGGGUGCAAGCGUUAUCCGGAUUCACUGGGUUUAAAGGGUGCGUAGGUGGGUCUGUAAGUCCGUGGUGAAAUCUCCGAGCUUAACUUGGAAACUGCCAUGGAUACUAUAGGUCUUGAAUACUGUGGAGGUCAGCGGAAUAUGUCAUGUAGCGGUGAAAUGCUUAGAUAUGACAUAGAACACCAAUUGCGAAGGCAGCUGGCUACACAAAUAUUGACACUGAUGCACGAAAGCGUGGGGAUCAAACAGGAUUAGAUACCCUGGUAGUCCACGCCCUAAACGAUGGAUACUCGACAUUUGCGAUAAACUGCAAGUGUCUGAGCGAAAGCAUUAAGUAUCCCACCUGGGAAGUACGAUCGCAAGAUUGAAACUC